rnacentral:rRNA from 1 species
GCGGACAGAUGGGAGCUUGCUCCCUGAUGUCAGCGGCGGACGGGUGAGUAACACGUGGGUAACCUGCCUGUAAGACUGGGAUAACUCCGGGAAACCGGGGCUAAUACCGGAUGCUUGAUUGAACCGCAUGGUUCAAUUAUAAAAGGUGGCUUUUAGCUACCACUUACAGAUGGACCCGCGGCGCAUUACCUAGUUGGUGAGGUAACGGCUCACCAAGGCAACAAUGCGUACCCAACCUGAAAGGGUGAUCGGCCACACUGGGACUGAAACACGGCCCAAACUCCUACGGGAGGCAGCAGUAGGGAAUCUUCCGCAAUGGACAAAAGUCUGACGGAGCAACGCCGCGUGAGUGAUGAAGGUUUUCGGAUCGUAAAACUCUGUUGUUAGGGAAAAACAAGUACCGUUCGAAUAGGGCGGUACCUUGACGGUACCUAACCAAAAAGCCACGGCUAACUACGUGCCAGCAGCCGCGGUAAUACGUAGGUGGCAAGCGUUGUCCGGAAUUAUUGGGCGUAAAGCGCGCGCAGGCGGUUUCUUAAGUCUGAUGUGAAAGCCCCCGGCUCAACCGGGGAGGGUCAUUGGAAACUGGGGAACUUGAGUGCAGAAAAGGAGAGUGGAAUUCCACGUGUAGCGGUGAAAUGCGUAGAGAUGUGGAGGAACACCAGUGGCGAAGGCGACUCUCUGGUCUGUAACUGACGCUGAGGCGCGAAAGCGUGGGGAGCGAACAGGAUUAGAUACCCUGGUAGUCCACGCCGUAAACGAUGAGUGCUAAGUGUUAGAGGGUUUCCGCCCUUUAGUGCUGCA